UGAUCUCAAUUCCCCCUCAGGCUUUAUUUUGAAAUAUAAAUGAAGGCCUGUUCAGGGUUAUUGGAUUUGGAGGUUUUCAUGCAGGUUCCUUUUUGUAAGGGAAUCAGCUCCUCUUAAAAAUAUUAGCUGGAGGAUGAAGCAAAAAUAUAGGCUCAGCAUUGUUCAAUUGGCUUUAUGGUGUAAUAAUUAUUUCAUCAUGUGCUAUACAGUGCAUGGGAAAAUAUAGUCCCAAGGAGGCUUUUUGUAGCAUUCUCUGCUUCUAGUUUUGUCAGGUCUUAUCUGGCAAUUCAUGUAUUCUU
rnacentral:misc_RNA from 1 species